CAGCCGCGGUUAAUUACGUUAGUUGGCUAGCGUUGUUCCAGAACUUAUUGGGCGUUAAAAGGGGCUCGCAGGCGGUUUUCUUUAAGUCUGAUUGUUGAAAGCCCCCCGGCUUCAACCCGGGGAGGGUCAUUGGAAACUGGGAAACUUGAGUGCAGAAGAGGGAGAGUGGAAUUCCACGUGUAGCGGUGAAAUGCGUAGAGAUGUGGAGGAACACCAGUGGCGAAGGCGACUCUCUGGUCUGUAACUGACGCUGAGGAGCGAAAGCGUGGGGAGCGAACAGGAUUAGAUACCCUGGUAGUCCACGCCGUAAACGAUGAGUGCUAAGUGUUAGGGGGUUUCCGCCCCUUAGUGCUGCAGCUAACGCAUUAAGCACUCCGCCUGGGGAGUACGGUCGCAAGACUGAAACUCAAAGGAAUUGACGGGGGCCCGCACAAGCGGUGGAGCAUGUGGUUUAAUUCGAAGCAACGCGAAGAACCUUACCAGGUCUUGACAUCCUCUGACAACCCUAGAGAUAGGGCUUUCCCUUCGGGGACAGAGUGACAGGUGGUGCAUGGUUGUCGUCAGCUCGUGUCGUGAGAUGUUGGGUUAAGUCCCGCAACGAGCGCAACCCUUGAUCUUAGUUGCCAGCAUUCAGUUGGGCACUCUAAGGUGACUGCCGGUGACAAACCGGAGGAAGGUGGGGAUGACGUCAAAUCAUCAUGCCCCUUAUGACCUGGGCUACACACGUGCUACAAUGGACAGAACAAAGGGCUGCGAGACCGCAAGGUUUAGCCAAUCCCACAAAUCUGUUCUCAGUUCGGAUCGCAGUCUGCAACUCGACUGCGUGAAGCUGGAAUCGCUAGUAAUCGCGGAUCAGCAUGCCGGCGAUUUCGC
rnacentral:rRNA from 1 species